rnacentral:misc_RNA from 1 species
AAUUAUCUUUAUUACUAUCAUUUUGUUUGAAAUUUUUAAAAUUUUUAUUAUUAAAGUAACAAAAUAUCCCAUGCAAAGCGUGGAGUACCAUCUUGUUAUAUGAUAACACAACCUACAAGAGGUAAUUACUAAAGAUCAACUUGUUCCAAUUUCAUCACUGACUAUUUUUUUAAUACAAUUUGGCAACGUUGCCAUCAAGAACAUUCAGUGAGUUAUGCCACCAAUUCUCAUUAUGAAUUGCUAUGUAUACGUGUUUUAUUGCCUAUUCGGUGUAAUAAUCAAGUCACUCCACUUGGAGAUUAUGGAUUUGAACCAUGGAAACGGCCCAUCUGCAAACUAAGGGUGAGGCUACAUGCAUCACCCCUCUCCAGAACCCACAAGUGUGGGAUACUUCAUGUCACUCUUUUUUUAUGAAUCGAUUCAAUGAAUUUUCUUGAAUUUGCGGUUAGAUAAUUUGUCAGAAUGUUUGCAAUUCUGUCCACAGUGACCAAAUUGUAAACAAAAUGGAAGUUGAGCGAAUUGAUCUUUUGUAACUUGAAAUUAAGCCUAAACUUCAGUCACAAACAAUAGAAUUCAUGCAUGCCAAAAGUGGCAUAAUGCUUAACCUUUUGGGUAACUUAUAUCAUAGAUAAACCAGAUUUUAUCCAAAUUGUGAUUCAUCCAUCAAACAAUAAACAAAAGUAUAUCUUAUUUUCUAGAUGGCAAGAGCUGAUAAACAUGAAAGUAUGUAAACCCGGCACAGUAAUCCCCCAUCAUUCUAGUAUGAAUAGAAAUAACGGCUGAUUUAAUUAAGUUUUGUAGUUAACCUAAUUAAGCACAAUCAAUGCAACAAAAGGUAUACGAGUGAGAAUUCCAUUCCGAAAGCAACACAAUUUUCAAUCAUGACUCACUAUACUUCACUGUCUAUUUUGCAACAAACUUUCAUGAUCAUUGAAGGUUUUUGUUUAUCACCAUGGAUUAUUCAAUUGGAAAAUUUGAAGAUAAUUUUUUUUGGAAGACUUUCCUUUAAAAGUGAGCGCAUGAAUGCAGUCCAAUGCUUUUGAUUUGUGGCAGUCUGUAGAAGUAUUAAACGCGCUGAAACGUGAAUGGCCCCAUUGAUCAGGAGUCCAUCCAGUCUCCCUCAAGCCAGGAAUAUCCUCAACUUUAACGAUCUUUUUAGGAAUACCAGCUUCUUUCUUCUGAAAAUCAAAACCAGUGUAAACAAUGUGACAAUUAGAUAGCUCUCUAAUCUUUUCAUCAAUUGCCUGCCUUUGGCGACGAAUCAUGGUAGAUAAAUCGGUGUAUGGGAGUUUUGGAUCAAUUCUGCACUCCAUAAGAAUACCUCCAUCACAGUCUUUAAUAUACCCUUGCCAUCGAUCCUUGUCCAAGUAAAUCUCUUUGGUAAAACCCUGUUUGAUGAAAUAACCAACAGCAUUAUUAUCAGCAUAUGUCAGAAAAUGUGUUAGCCCAUCAAUAUCACGUGCAUACUGCUUCAAAUGAUUCAUCAAUCUUGUACCAUAACCUUUUACUUGUUCAUCCGCUGUGAUUGCACAAAAAGCUAUCUCCCCAAACUUUUGGCUGACAUAUGGACGAUAUGUGAUGCCACCAACAACCUGAUUGCGUCUGAUAACCAUUACAGAUUUAUGGCUUCUUCCCACAAUAACGCUUGAAAGUUUGUGAUUCAAGAACACGAAAAUAAGUUCAUUUUAUGAUACAAACAUAAGUUAUCAACCACAGAUCUCCAAUGUGUGGCCACAGCAACACAAGCAGAAUACUUAUGAGCAAUUAUCUAUAGCUUGGUCUGCAGGUUUGUGGUUUGAGAAGAUUCAAAUUUCCAUUACUGUAUGUUAUCUCAACAAAACCAGUUUUGCUGCUCAUCAUUGCCACAGGUUGUAGGGUAUAGGCUUUCACCCUUGACUGGGAGCUUUCUCAGCUAUCCAUCACAAGACGGACAAUAUACUCCUUGGGCAUGUUGGGCAAUUGCCUAGCAAAUAUGUUCUUCAAUCCUAUCAACCAAAUCAUAUGUUCAUCAAUGCCAUCAUUUGAAAGACAUAGAAACUUGAGUCUUCCGGCUUCCUCCUCUCUCUUCAAACUUUCUUCUCUAGCGCUAUAAGCUCCACUAGUUUGCAAAUUUUCGGUAAAAAUCUUUACCGCGUCCUCCUUCGUCACUAUCCCUGCUACGGAGCCGCCCGCGGUGGUAGACCCCACGGCACUAGUCCCCGUAGGUCCACCAUCCUUCCCGCCAUCCGACUUUUCAAUCUUUACCGUCGAAUUUUCCAUCUUCAGCUUCGUGUUGCGUGCCGAGGGCCCGCCUCCUCCACCUGAACCAGCGCCGGUAGCCGAGGCUCCAGGCAUUAGUCUCCAGACGGGCAACGGUGAAUGUGCGCAUUGAGGAGUCAUUGUCGAACUCGUCUUCAUCAUCGUCAACGACGGCGUCUGAAUCCUCAACGUCGGAGUCAGAAUCAGCGCCACGGGCCGAGAUGCUCUCUAGGUCGUCGUUGGACGUCAGUGCACCGUCUCGCGUGUCAUCGGAGAAAGAUGACGGAGGAAAUGGAGGGGCGUGGUCUUCAGAGACUACCGAGGCAGCUGCAGCCAGCUUGCGCUAAUGAAUAGACGAAGUGGCGGAGGCCAAAGCAGAGUGGGAGGGCGACGGCGACUGGGAGCUGCGAGAGCGAUUGGGUACGUUUGGGUGAGAGUGAGAAUCCAUAGACUCGAAUUGAGUUGACUCGGCUGAGAAUUUGGGAAAUUGACGAGUUAGGGUUUUGGAGAUGGAUUCCAGAGCACAGAGAACGAUUACGAGAGGGCAGUGAAGUGAUCGAUGUCGUUGUUACAGUUGGCUGGAGCAUGUUCUUUGUGAC